UUUUAGAUUUUAAGGCUUCUCAGCCCUUCUGGAGGGUUUUUUUAGUUAAAGAGCAAGUAACGUCUAAAUUAACUUUUUUUUUUUGCUGAUGAACUGUAUAAAUGAGUGUCUAAUAGUGUUUUAAAUGUGUGCAUUCUUUAUUUUAGCAUUUUGGUGCAUUUUCUUUAAAAAUUAAAAAUUCUGUCUAAAAACCACAGUAAUGCGCCACCUUCAGCUGAAAACAUAGAAUUUGAGUCAUUUUGAAUAAAUUUUAGCCAAUGGCUAAAGAGUAAAAUACUACGUAAACCAGUAGAGUACUACGUAGCAGCUCCGUGCCAAAGUUAUAAAAGCAUCGAGCGUCUCGGCCACGCCCUGUGGCGAGUGGGAGUUGGAUUUGCAAGCGAGCGUAGAAGGUCAGCGGUAGUUUAGCAUUAGCAUAUAGCAUUAGUAUAUCCUAGUCUUUAGCAUAGCUUUUAGUGUUAUAAAUACUUAUUUAGUGUUAGUUUGGCUGUUGGAUAUUGUAGUUUAGUUAGUGUUUGGCUGUUAGUGUAAAUGGGAAAGUAGUUCGGGUUUAGUGCUCCAUAUCGUCUUAGUAUUCGUGAGUAGUUGUAGUGUAGUAUGGUUGCGGUGGCUCUGUGGGCAUUUUACCCGCGAUUCUGCACGCCUCCGUUUGAAGAGGGAGGCUGUGCCCACCGUGGCUCUUACUCGAUUUAGAUGCAGCCCACCGACUCUGCUCCCCCACCACGGCAGGCUCCAGUCUGAGGUGAGUACGCUAAAUAAACGUUUUAACAUCUUCUAAAGACAAUUUCCUACCUAAAUGCAAAGUCUGAGAGACGUGGUUCACUUCCUUUAGUUAGUCAGUCGGCAAUUCUGCAACAGUGACUCUAACUGACGCAGCACUAGUUGACAGACAGCAUUACAGUGUGAAAUCCAGCUUGUGACCCGGUUCUGUAAGGAAUUCUGUUCAGGAGGUCAUAUUUCAGGCUCUCCACAUCAUGUGUGACUGACUUUUACGUUAUAACAACGAUCACACACUAGGAAUGUUAUAAAGCGCCUUUAUAGGACAGUUUCUUUUGUAUAUUAUCGGACUUUAUAAACUCCCAACAACAAUGUGCUUCUAUUUUUUUUUUUCAGGCUAAAUCUACCCAAGACACUGGCUGUCAGACUGAUUUAGCUGCAAGAAUGCACUUGUCCAGGCUGACAUGAAGCCUUACCGGUGUAGCAAAGGUGAAUUAUUUUUAAUAAUCUUCUAUGUAAACAUUUUAUUAUUACCUUCUAGUUUUAAUUUGUUUUACAGAUUAUUGUUACACGUGAUUUUAUGCUCUUUUAAACAUUUAUAAAUGUGCUGCUUCUUUAUUUUUUACAUAGCCAGCCAGAAUGGAGUUCACAGCCGCAGUGUGUCUGGUGACCCACGGGGACCAUGAUGGAAAUUCAUCUUCCAGAAAGUCCCAGAGCAGCGUCCACACCCCCUGAAAAGACCAAGAUGUAAGGUGUCUGCUGUUGAUUCCAGCUUCCACCUCAGUGACAGUGCAAGCUCAGUGAACUGUUCAAGGACACUCAGCAAAAUAUGGACUCUACACCAUGAGGCAGGCACACGUUAAUAUUCUAUAAGAGCACAUAAGGUGAGCAACACCACAUAUUAUUGUACACUGUCCUGAUUUUGUUUUCUUUCUGCAUCUCAUCAUUAGCCUGGCUGAUCACCUGAUAACUCCUGUCAUCUGGUUAUGACAGCAUUAGGAUGUCCUCACACACCUGUAACCUAUCAGCUCAUCUGGCAGAAUAGAGAGAGAAGAGACAACACCACAUCUCCUUUUCCUGGAAAGCCUUCAGCCAUCCUUUGAUGACUGAGAACCUCCAUCAGCUCUGUCUCCUGUCUGCCUACUAUUAUUAUAAUAAAUAUUGUGUUUGACAAGU